GAUGAAGAACGUAGCGAAAUGCGAUAAGUAAUGUGAAUUGCAGAAUUCCGUGAAUCAUCGAAUCUUUGAACGCACAUUGCGCCCCCUGGUAUUCCGGGGGGGCAUGCCUGUCCGAGCGUCAUCAAAAAUCCUCAAGGUUGAAUUUAUUCAUUCUUGGUCAUGGACGUGGAGUGGUCAUGCACCAUUCCUAUCCGAAAUGCAAUGGCGAAGUGGCCUGUACCAUGGAGUGUAGUAAUCAACAUUAUGUUUCACUAUUGGUCAAGUAUUCUUCUGCCAUGAAAACCCCCAUCAUUUCAAGUGUUUGACCUCGGAUCAGGUAGGGAUACCCGCUGAACUUAAGCAUAUCAAUAAGCGGAGGA
rnacentral:misc_RNA from 1 species